UCUCUUUCAAAAGUAAUAAACAUUAAAUAAACAAAUAAUAAAUAAAAGUAAAAAAAUAAAUUCAAGAUCUGGGAGAUCUUUUGCAGUAUCCUUUUAUACUAUUCUUUGAUUAUUCCACAUCGUGAGCAUUCCUCCUGCUGUAGGCCCUCUUUUCUUCUCAAUAUGUGCCCUCUCCUUUGGAAAUUCCAUCUGCCCCUAUGGCCUCAAUUCUCAUUUCAGCAGCCUGACUACUCAGGCUAGACAUAAGACUCUGCUAAUGGUCCAUUAACAAGUCUUUGCUUCCUUAAAGACCUGAUGGUCUACUGUUGGCAACUUUCUGGAGUUUAAAACUAUAUUGCACCUUCCUGGCUGGUUCCAAUCCAUUUUUAUGGUUUUACUGCCUACUGUUACCAUAUCUGUGCACUCCAUUCUAUAUAAACUUGAUUCCUUACCUUUGUGGCGGAUGCCUUUGCUUAUGCUUUCCUUUGGUGUGAAAUGGCUUUACCCAGUUGUAUCUAUUAAGGUUUUUCUUAACUCCUUGCUGAUUGGUCCCAAAUUUUUUACAUUUAUGGGGAUAAUGUAUAACUCAUAAUACACCAGUAAAAUGAAGACAUUAACAACUGUGGUAGGCAAAUUCUAAGAUGGUACCUAAGAUUUCUGAUCUCUGGUGUACAUACCCUACAUAAUCUCCUCCCCUUGAAUGUGGGCAGGACCUACAAUAUGACGGAUGUCACUUGUAUGACCAAGUUAUGUUAAUGGCAAAGGUAAAGAGACUUUGCAGAUGUAAUUAAAGCCCUUAAUCAGUUUGAUUUUGAGUUCAUCAAAAGACAGAAUAUCCUUUGGUGGGCUUGUUACAAUCAGGUGUGCUUGACACAAGAGGGCUUAGGUUUUCCUCAGAUCAGAGAGCUUCUCCUGCUAGGCUUGAAGAAGCAAGCUGCUAUGAGUUCUACAACUACAAGAAAAUGAAUUCUGCCAACAACUACUUGAGCUUGGAAGAGGGCCCCCACACCUCAGACAAGACAGAAAUCUUGGUUGACUUCUUGAUUGUAGACUUGUGAGAUCUUGAUUGUAGACUUGUGAGAUCUUGUACCCAGACUUCUGACCCACAGAAUAUGUGAGAUAAUAAAUGGGUGUUGUUCUAAGUCACAGAGCUCAUGGUAGUUUGGUACAUAGCAAUAGAAAAGUAACACAGACUUAAUAAACUGGUUAAUAAGUAUCAUCAGUUCAUAGUAUUUAGGGUUUGUUACAGCAUAAGAAAACUUGAAAUGUAAUGAAAUCUUACAGUACACAGUGACUUAAUAGAUGUUUUACAAAAUUUGACUAUAGUCCUAAAAAUUUAUGUAGCAUUAUCACAAUGCACUGUGAAUUAAAAUUUGUGUGUGUGUGUGUGUGUGUGUGUGUGUGUGUGUGUGAUCAACCAUGCUGGGAGUAAAGACUGAAUUAUCUUUAUUUUUACUAUAUAGGAAAUAUUGCAAAUUUAUUGUCAAAUGAAGAAACAACUAAAAAGUAUGGAGUCAAAAGAAAAAGAAACAAAAAGUAUUAAAUAAAUGUAUGAGGGAAAUACGCAGUUUUCUAGAUUUUAUGAUAUUUGUGGCCUUUGUUUAAUAAAAUUUGUAAUUUGUUGUGAUUUUCUUUCUCAUUCUAAAAAAUUAUUUUGUGCCCGAUUUUUUAUUCAAAAUUUUCUGUUCUUUUAUAAAAAUCCCCCAUUUUAUAAGUUUCAGGGCCUGCAAAACAUAAAUCUUCUGGACACAACCAUAAUGCUUUGAAAUUCACCUAUAGACAGACAGUCAGGAACAAGUCGGAAAGGUUCACAAAAAAAUGUGAAUGUCUCCUUAGCUUUGUUUCGCCCCUAGAGGGCACUGUUGCCUAAAUUCAAAAUGGCUUUUCUGUAAAAGAUCAGAAUAAGCUCCCAAAAACCUUCUGUCCUUACACUUUAAAGAGGUGUUCUGUCGGCAUUUUUUAGACAGUGACAUAUAAAGAAUCUCAGACAACAGGGGCAGUUUUGCCCGGAGAACAUCUCUUCCUAACAGUCCUGAAGAAAAAGGGAUCUAAAUCUAUCAUUCCUCCUCAACCUCAGAGCAAUCUGGAUUCAAGUCCCCUCAGUCAUCAGAUUUUAUUUGUGUGUGAGGAACUUCCCAGAAAGAAAACUCUCUGGUUCUUCACUGCUUGGCCAUGACCUUGGUGUUCAUCUUGACGCUUGGGGUGCUUCUGUUCCUGAGAGGAACUGGAGCCCAGUCGCUGACCCAACCUGACGGCCACAUCACUGUCUCUGAAGGAGCCCGUCUGGAGCUGAGUUGCAACUAUUCCGCUAGUGGAACUACUUAUCUCUUCUGGUAUGUGCAGCACCCCAACCAAGGACUCCAGCUUCUCCUCAAGUACUUUGCAGGGCCAUCAGAUGCCCUAGUUCAAGGCAUCAAAGGUUUCGAGGCUGAAUUUAAGAAGAGUGAGAAGGCCUUCCACCUGAGGAAACACUCAGCCCAUUGGAGCGACUCGGCCAAGUACUUCUGUGCUGUGAGUGACACAGCGCCUGGGACUACAGGGGGAGCUGAACACAAACCUUCUGAGACACUGUAACUUAAAGGACUCAGGGUCUCAGGCUGAGUUGUUUUCAGGAAGUUGACAUGUUCUGUAAAAGAACAUGUUCCCCUGCCUGUUUUUAUAUUAUUUUUGUUUCCCUUCCCUUAUGUUCAUCUGUUUUGUCUCUUAAAGUCCUCAUAUGAGUGAA